rnacentral:rRNA from 1 species
ACGUAGGGUGCGAGCGUUAAUCGGAAUUACUGGGCGUAAAGCGUGCGCAGGCGGUAAUGUAAGACAGAUGUGAAAUCCCCGGGCUUAACCUGGGAACUGCAUUUGUGACUGCAUUGCUGGAGUGCGGCUGAGGGGGAUGGAAUUCCGCGUGUGGCAGUGAAAUGCGUAGAUAUGCGGAGGAACACCGAUGGCGAAGGCAAUCCCCUGGGCCUACACUGACGCUCAUGCACGAAAGCGUGGGGAGCAAACGGGA